rnacentral:rRNA from 1 species
CCUACGGGUGGCAGCAGUGGGGAAUAUUGGGCAAUGGGCGAAAGCCUGACCCAGCAACGCCGCGUGAAGGAAGAAGGCUUUCGGGUUGUAAACUUCUUUUGUCAGGGACGAAGCAAGUGACGGUACCUGACGAAUAAGCCACGGCUAACUACGUGCCAGCAGCCGCGGUAAUACGUAGGUGGCAAGCGUUAUCCGGAUUUACUGGGUGUAAAGGGCGUGUAGGCGGGACUGCAAGUCAGAUGUGAAAACUCAGGGCUCAACCCUGAGCCUGCAUUUGAAACUGUAGUUCUUGAGUACUGGAGAGGCAGACGGAAUUCCUAGUGUAGCGGUGAAAUGCGUAGAUAUUAGGAGGAACACCAGUGGCGAAGGCGGUCUGCUGGACAGCAACUGACGCUGAGGCGCGAAAGCGUGGGGAGCAAACAGGAUUAGAUA